GCCCAGCCGUAAACUUUUACUUACACCCCCAUCGCCAGGGAACUACGAGCAAAGCUUAAAACCCAAGGGACUUGACGGUACCCCACAUCCACCUAGAGGAGCCUGUCCUAUAAUCGAUAACCCCCGCUUAACCUCACCAUUUUUAGCUUAUCAGCCUGUAUACCUCCGUCGUCAGCUUACCACGUGAGCGCCUACUAGUGAGCUUAAUGCCCCUACGCCAACACGUCAGGUCAAGGUGCAGCAUAUAAAAUGGGAAGAGAUGGGCUACACUAUCUAGCAUAGAUUACACGAAAGACUAUAUAUGAAACCUAGUCCAAAGGCGGAUUUAGAAGUAAAGAAAGACCAAAGUGCUUCCUUUAACUCGGCACUGGGGUGUGUACACACCGCCCGUCACCCUCUUCAAAGCUUCAACGUAGUCUAUAACUCCCCUUAGCACACCAGAAGAGGCAAGUCGUAACAUGGUAAGUAUACCGGAAGGUGUGCUUGGAAA
rnacentral:rRNA from 1 species